rnacentral:rRNA from 1 species
GAUGAACGCUGGCGGCGUGCCUAAUACAUGCAAGUCGAGCGAACAGACGAGGAGCUUGCUCCUCUGACGUUAGCGGCGGACGGGUGAGUAACACGUGGAUAACCUACCUAUAAGACUGGGAUAACUUCGGGAAACCGGUGCUAAUACCGGAUAAUAUCUUUAACCGCAUGGUUCAAUAUUGAAAGACGGUUUUGCUGUCACUUAUAGAUGUAUCCGCGCCGCAUUAGCUAGUUGGUAAGGUAACGGCUUACCAAGGCGACGAUGCGUAGCCGACCUGAGAGGGUGAUCGGCCACACUGGAACUGGGACACGGUCCAGACUCCUACGGGAGGCAGCAGUAGGGAAUCUUCCGCAAUGGGCGAAAGCCUGACGGAGCAACGCCGCGUGAGUGAUGAAGGUCUUCGGAUCGUAAAACUCUGUUAUUAGGGAAGAACAAAUGUGUAAGUAACUAUGCACGUCUUGACGGUACCUAAUCAGAAAGCCACGGCUAACUACGUG